rnacentral:rRNA from 1 species
CCCUUCGGGGUGAAGAUAAGACGGAUUAGCGGCGGACGGGUGAGUAACACGUGAGUAACCUGCCUUUUACACAGGGAUAGCCUCGGGAAACCGGGAUUAAAACCUGAUGAAACUAUCAAAUCACAUGAUUAAGAAAGUUAAAACUCCGGUGGUAAAAGAUGGACUCGCGUCCCAUUAGCUAGUUGGUGAAGGUAACGGCCCACCAAGGCAACGAUGGGUAGCCGGCCUGAGAGGGUGAACGGCCACAUUGGAACUGAGAAACGGUCCAAACUCCUACGGGAGGCAGCAGGA